rnacentral:lncRNA from 10 species
AAGAUGCGGACUCCCUAAGGCUGGGCAAAAUGAUGCAUUCUCUCAUACACUGCUUACCAAGUGUUUUCUUCCCCUGUUGCUUAAGCACAGAUUAUAUAUCACCUGCUGACAUUUGUCUUCUCACUUGCUGCUCCCUGGUAAGUCUUCAGAACGUGACCCACAGGCAUCAAAGCCUCCAAAGCUGCUGUCAUCACUCUAACAUGGAGGAAUAAGGGAACUCCAGGGAUUUUGCUGAUGACAGGCAGGGAAGGGUCCUCAGAAGCAGAAAUGUUCACGCCAAGCCUGGGAGGAUGGGUAGGAUUCCUCCAGGGGGAAGAGAGGGGACAAGGCCAUUCCAGACUGAAGAAACUGGGUGCACAUGUAUGGACGGGGUGGGACCAUGCUACAUGCAUGCCCCUCCAUGGGUAUUGCUCUAGCAUGCUUUACUUGCUUGGAGUUCAAGAUUAGGUUACAUUACUUUCAACAUUCUGUGAGAAUAAAAAGAGACCAAUCAAAUGAAAAUGAGCAAAAACUACUUAUUCAAAAUUUGCAAUUGCAAGACAGUCAGCCACCAUGACUCGUAUUUGGCAGAAAAUCAAAGGCAGGCAGAGGAGUGGGAAAACUUUAUGGGCCCAGGACGCUUGCGCUGCGCAGCUCUGAAUGGAAAAACUUUAUCAUGGAAGAAAGAGAAGGCUUCAGGUGUCCCCUGAUCAGAGGCUGUUGGCAUCGGGAAGCUGCAGUUGAGCUAAUUAGAAGCAGGGCAUCCUAGUGUGUCCGGAAUUGGUGGGUUCUUGGUCUCACUUACUUCAAGAAUGAAGCCGCGGACCCUCGCGUGAAUGUUAGA